CCGACGGUGAGGGAUGAAUGCUGGGGGCGCAAACCGGAUUAGAUACCCGGGUAGUCCCAGCAGUAAACGAUGCCAGCUAUGUGUUGCUGGAACCAUGGGUUCCAGCAGUGCCGAAGGGAAGCCGUGAAGCUGGCCACCUGGGAAGUACGGUCGCAAGGCUGAAACUUAAAGGAAUUGGCGGGGGAGUACCACAACCGGUGGAGCCUGCGGUUUAAUUGGAUACAACGCCGGGAAUCUUACCGGAGGGGACAGCAGUAUGAAGGCCAGGCUAAAGACCUUGCCAGAUCAGCUGAGAGGAGGUGCAUGGCCGUCGCCAGUUCGUACCGUGAGGCAUCCUGUUUAGUCAGGCAACGAUCGAGACCCGCAGUCUUAUUUGCCAGCAUGCCCUUUGGGGUGUAUGGGUACAAUAAGACGACCGCCAGCGCUAAGCUGGAGGAAGGAGCGGGCUACGGUAGGUCAGCAUGCCCCGAAUCCUCCGGGAUACACGCGGGCUACAAUGGUCAGGACAAAAGGUACCGACCUCGAAAGAGUGAGGUAAUCCACAAACCUGAUCUCAGUCCGGAUCGAAGGCUGCAACUCGCCUUCGUGAAGAUGGAAUCGGUAGUAAUCGUGACUCAAAAUGUCACGGUGAAUAUGUCCCUGCUCCUUGCACACACCGGCCG
rnacentral:rRNA from 1 species